GGCGAACGGGUGAGUAACACGUGGGUGAUCUGCCCUGCACUUCGGGAUAAGCCUGGGAAACUGGGUCUAAUACCGGAUAGGAGCCAUUUUUAGUGUGAUGGUUGGAAAGUUUUUCGGUGUAGGAUGAGCUCGCGGCCUAUCAGCUUGUUGGUGGGGUAAUGGCCUACCAAGGCGGCGACGGGUAGCCGGCCUGAGAGGGUGGACGGCCACAUUGGGACUGAGACACGGCCCAG
rnacentral:rRNA from 1 species